rnacentral:lncRNA from 1 species
UAAAAUUAUAAAGGUUUUAUCUGUGGACUUGCAUAAGGAUAUGUUAUUCCCUGUGUACCACAAAGAGAAAAAGAAGUGAAAUAACACCCUUCUACCUCACUUUCUGUGACCCCACCCCAAAAGAAAUGAUUGGCUUCAUCUGUUGGUGUUUGGCUGGCAGUUUGAGUUGGUAGAAUAGGCUAGUAUUAUCAUUGGUUAAUUGUUAGAUGUUGGUAUUGUUGUGUCUUGUUGUUUCUUGAUGAUUGAUGUUUGAGACUGAGCAUCUGUAGUGUUAUUGAUUUGAUCUCUUUUAAAUUCGAUUCUAGCAACUGCCCCAAAGACAGAGUGAGUUAGUAAGGAGUAUGGACUAUGUAAGUAAUUUGUUUUACUAGCUAAUUCAUUUAGGCAAUUGUUUUUACCCUAUAUUCCUUCUUAAUCGAGAGUAAGGAAGGGUACAUUCUUUGCUUUGGGAAAUUCUUCUUUCUGUCCUCCCUCCCCUCACUUUUUCCAAAUUCUGGGCACAACAGCAGCUCUUUCUUUUCUGUGGCAGGUGUGCAUCCUAUUGGCUGGCUGGUAUUUCUUGUUUUCUUUUUUUUUCUUAUUCUUUUAAAAUGGGGGUGGGGGGUAUAAAAAUAUGUGUAUGGGAUACAUGCAAUAAUGUUUUAAUGUUUCUUGUUGUUUAAUGGAUAAUUAAUUGCAAAAUAAUUGUUUGAAUUAUAACAUGUUUGAGUAAAUGCUAAAUUAGUC